rnacentral:lncRNA from 1 species
UCAUCAAUCUCCGUGCCCACUUUCGACAUCCCUUCGAGAAGACUGGUCGCCCCUUCCGCUCGUCUUUUCCUUGCCGAAGCUCUUGAUGGAUGGUUGCUCGCAUCCUCUCCUUGUGCUUGCUCCACCAAUAUUUUUUCUAAUGAGGUCUCCUCGAGUGUGGCCAUCACGACUGUCGGCAAAGGAAUCACAGGCUCGAUGAUCGAAGUGAGAUUCUCAUCUCUUCCAACCUCAGAUUUCGAUAUGACGACUGAAACUUGGGUGUCACCCCU